GCCGGUGUGAUGGAAUAGGUAGACGUAGUGGAUUCAAAAUCCACCGCUGGCAACAGCGUGCCGGUUCGAGUCCGGCCACCGGCACCA
rnacentral:tRNA from 1 species